rnacentral:rRNA from 1 species
GACGGAGGGUGCAAGCGUUGUUCGGAAUUACUGGGCGUAAAGGGCGCGUAGGCGGUCCGCUAAGUUCGGUGUGAAAGCCCCCGGCUCAACCGGGGAACUGCGCCGGAAACUGGUGGACUCGAGUACCGGAGAGGAGGGUGGAAUUCCUGGUGUAGCGGUGAAAUGCGUAGAUAUCAGGAGGAACACCGGUGGCGAAGGCGGCCCUCUGGACGGAUACUGACGCUGAGACGCGAAAGCGUGGGGAGCAAAC